rnacentral:lncRNA from 1 species
GGCCUUGACUGUUAGCAAAGUGAGAGUAAGACCUGGGGCAUAGGUAGCAAGGGGUCAGCAGGUGGAAGACAGACUGGGGCAGUCCCUAGGAAAAGUUCAUGUUUUAGAGAGGUAUUUGUGUGGAAGCUGAUCUCUGGGGGUGGAGGGAGGCUGGGUUUGCAAUGGAGAACUCCAAACUGGGGAAAAGGGACAAGGACCCAGAAGGGACCACAGGAGACCAAAAGGUCUGGAACUCCAGACCCGGGAAAGGGAGUGGGAGAAGGAGACUGGACCCUAGGGACAGAGGAAGGGACAGGAUAGGUUGGACCCCAGGCGAGGGAAAGGAAGAGGGAAGGCUGAGACCCUUGGCUGAGGAAUGUGACUGAGGAGCUGGGACUCAGCUAAGGGAAGGGGUUAGGGAGCCUGAGCUAAAGGAAGGGGACCAAAGGAGGGGUCGGGGGGUGGGAGCCAGUCCAGGAAAAGAAGAGAGGGGGCUGGGAGCCCAGCCUGCGAGGAAGGAGUGAAGCCGGAAAGCGGCCGGGAGCUUCCCCACCCAGAGAAGGGCCGGGGUGCAGGCGCGCCGGGCUGAAAUUCCGGGGAAAUGGAGGGAGGCGGAAGGCGGAGGCAGGCGGCCUGGCUGGAGGGCGCCCCGGCGCGGGCUGGGGGCGGCUCGCGGUGGGCCGGCAGCAACACACCCCUCCUUGCGGCCCCGGCGCGGCGCGGCGCUCCGCCCCGGCCCAGCUUCAGCUCCGCCGCGUCCAGCUCCAGUGACAGUUGCAGCCCCGGCCCCAGCCCCGGCGGCGGCCGACUGAUGCCUCGCUGAGCCCGGAGCUGGUAUUUAUAGACACCAGCGAGCAGCCAGCGCAGCGGGCUAGAGGGACCUGUCAGCGCCCGCGCACCGCAGCGACCACUGUCGCCAAGGGAAGGAAGCCCAUACUUCUUGACUCAGAGAAGCCAUGUUUGUGCCAACCCUUCCCCCUGCAGUCUCAGGAUGCUUGGGUCCUGGGUGGCGUCUCCCCCUACUUCUUCACCAGGAGUAGAUUCCAUCUCAAGAAACCACGUUUUGGGACGCCUGGGUGGCACAGCGGUUAAGCGUCUGCCUUCGGCUCAGGGCGUGAUCCCGGCGUUAUGGGAUCGAGCCCCACAUCAGGCUCCUCCGCUAGGAGCCUGCUUCUUCCUCUCCCACUCCCCCUGCUUGUGUUCCCUCUCUCGUUGGCUGUCUCUAUCUCUGUCGAAUAAAUAAAAAUAAAAUCUUAAAAAAAAAAAAAGAAACCACGUUUUUACUCAUCUAUAAGAAGCAACUCCUCGUCCAUUAAAGUUUUGUCAUGAGAUUGCGGCCGUUCAGUCCCAUCUUUGGGCUCCACUUCUCAUUCUAGGUCUCUUGCUGUUAACACCACAUCUGCAGCUACUUUCCCUACUGAAGUCUUGAACCCCUCACAGUCAUCCACGAGGGCUGGAAUCAACUUCUUCCAAAUUCCUGUUAAUGUUGAUAUUUGGACCCCUUCCCAUGAAUCAUGAAUGUUCUUAAUGGCGUUUAGAAC